rnacentral:rRNA from 1 species
CCUACGGGUGGCUGCAGUGAGGAAUAUUGGUCAAUGGGCGCGAGCCUGAACCAGCCAAGUCGCGGGAGGGAAGACGGUCCUAUGGAUUGUAAACCUCUUGUGUCGGGGAGCCAAAGACGCCACGUGUUGCGUUCCGAGAGUACCCGAAGAAUAAUGAUCGGCUAACUCCGUGCCAGCAGCCGAGGUAAUACGGAGGAUCCGAGCGUUAUCCGGAUUUAUUGGGUUUAAAGGGAGCGUAGAUGGGUUGUUAAGUCAGUUGUGAAAGUUUGCGGCUCAACCGUAAAAUUGCAAGUGCUACUGGCAGUCUUGAGUACAGUUGAGGUAGGCGGAAUUCGUGGUGUAGCGGUGAAAUGCUUAGAUAUCACGAAGAACCCCGAGUGCGAAGGCAGCUUACUAAACUGUGACUGACAUUGAUGCUCGAAAGUGUGGGUAUCAAACAGGAUUAGAUACCCUUGUAGUC